UACAGGGGGAUAACACUUAGAAAUAGGUGCUAAUACCGCAUAAGCGCACGGUUCCGCAUGGAACAGUGUGAAAAACUCCGGUGGUAUACGAUGGAUCCGCGUCUGAUUAGCCAGUUGGCGGGGUAACGGCCCACCAAAGCGACGAUCAGUAGCCGGCCUGAGAGGGUGAACGGCCACAUUGGGACUGAGACACGGCCCAAACUCCUACGGGAGGCAGCAGUGGGGAAUAUUGCACAAUGGGGGAAACCCUGAUGCAGCGACGCCGCGUGAGUGAAGAAGUAUUUCGGUACGUAAAGCUCUAUCAGCAGGGAAGAAAAAAAGUCCUUUGGACUUUGGACGGUACCUGACCAAGAAGCCCCGGCUAACUACGUGCCAGCAGCCGCGGUAAUACGUAGGGGGCAAGCGUUAUCCGGAUUUACUGGGUGUAAAGGGAGCGUAGACGGCAGCGCAAGUCUGGAGUGAAAUGCCGGGGCCCAACCCCGGAACUGCUUUGGAAACUGUGCAGCUGGAGUGCAGGAGAGGUAAGCGGAAUUCCUAGUGUAGCGGUGAAAUGCGUAGAUAUUAGGAGGAACACCAGUGGCGAAGGCGGCUUACUGGACUGUAACUGACGUUGAGGCUCGAAAGCGUGGGGAGCAAACAGGAUUAGAUACCCUGGUAGUCCACGCCGUAAACGAUGAUUACUAGGUGUCGGGGGGCCAAGGCCCUUCGGUGCCGCCG
rnacentral:rRNA from 1 species